rnacentral:lncRNA from 1 species
AGAGGGCCCAAUCUUGUGCAGGUGUUGUACAAGGCACAGCUCCUGAGAAAACUAAUCACCUAGUUUCUUGACUGUGGCUGUGAGUUUACAGUAACUGAUGAAGCUUGGAUGGUGAUGCUGAAGGAAGGAAGACAUGGCAGACAGGACUAGAAAACGGUGUGGGAUUAAAGCAACAGAACCAAGGAGGAUCAGGAGACAGAGGAUGCCGUGCGCAACAAGUCAUGACUAAUGUCAAGAAGGUUAAUGGAAUCAUUGGAGCUCUGGGUUUUAAUGACAGGUUCCCUGAGCCCACAACACAGCAUGCCUGUCACAGAAGUGAUCAGUUUUCACAGAAGAGACAGAUCAUCUCCUCAUAAGACCAACAUGGUUUCAAAUGCUGAGGACGGGGUCGGGGUUAUUAUGGGAUAAAGACAUAGAGGCCUGAGGUAAGGGUGAGGAGAAUCACUGUGGAUCAGUGGUCAGCACACUCCAAGUCAAGGCUUAUGGCUUUUUACUGGGUUCGGGCAGCAUCUAUGGCUUGGAGGGUGUAGUUUGGGGACACCCCAAUGUUGAAAGGUUACCCAUUAGACAUUUGUACGAGUCUACAGACUUUGCCCGAUGGUCAGAAUCUUGAGAGCCCUGAGUCCCUGAAGAACAAUUAGGUAACCCUAACUGCCACGUCCCGAUUGGCUAGAGCAGUUACCUAUGGCAAAGCUAACAGAAGGCUAUCACAUAACAGUGUGACCUCUAGAAGUCGAUGUUAGGGACCCCUGAAGCCACAUGUUUACUUCCCUGGGUUUCCAGGGUGAUCUUAGAGCCAGGGCAGCAGGAUGAGGCUGAACCUCACUGGGAAAAUGCCGGUUCCACCCUCUAUGACCGUACAAUCACCCAGUGUGACCACAGACACAGUGUGACCACAGAUGAUCUUACGAUGAAGUGACUGGAAAGAACAAGGUUGGGGGCAGAAAGAGGCUCCAAAGGCAUCACGAGGUACACAUGAAAGCCACCAAUGCUAAGAGAGACUGGAAACCCUUCCAAGCCAUGGGCUACACCCAGAGCAGAGAAUGCUGGCAAGAGGCCCCGUGACCUCCAGAUACCACACGGGCUGUGCACGAUGCAAACCAUCCACAUAGGAGAAGCAGGCACUGUACAAAUGGCCUGCAAAGGAUCAGGACUCUCUGAGCCCGGGGCCAUUAUGCUCCUCGUCUUUGCCAGCCCUCUGGCUCACUUCCAUUCUCAGGAGUGCAUUUUUCUCUCUUAAUAAACUCUAUUUUUAAUCACUCUCCAUGGAUCUCAGGUCUGACUGUUCCCGAACACAAUCACCUGGAAAUGGCAGCAGGUAUCUUGUAAACACGAUAUCUUGAUGUUUUAAAUCCAAAAAAGAAAAAGAAGAAAAAACUCCAAACCCCAAACGGGAGAGGAGAUGUUAGGUUAGGUUUUCACAUUUGGGACAUUACCUUAUGAACUAUGGCAAAAUCUUUGCCUUCCUUGACAACCACUUCUGCAUAGAGGAGCAUGGCUAAUGGCAUAGCCCCAGGGAUUCAGUCCUAGCACUAUGGGAGCCAGGACACAGACAGACCCCACAACAUUCAAUCCUAUCAUUUUUCAGCAGGACAUAGAAGUGCUUAGAGGCCAUGUGACCUUGUUUAGCAGGUGACAGACUCGGAGAGGUUUAGUCCUGAGUUCAUACCAUUGGCAAGGGCAUGCUAGUACCAAAUUAAAAAAAAAAAUGGAAAGAAUUCUUUUCACGGAUUGUAUGAGAUCUUCCCUGGAUUAAUCAUUCUCAAUUUUAUUUCCUUAUUUAGAAAAAAAAGUAGAAUUUUUUUUUUCAAAAAAAAAAUCCAUGUAUUUUCCAAACAGCCCUAGUUCAGGAACUUCCUUCACGAAUUACUAUUAUUGUUAUUUUUUUUAUGCAAAGCCUGGAAAAACUCCACAGAGGAAAAGAGCAACCACACCCGGGGCUCCGUGGAAGGUCUGAGGUCAUACUCUGAGAGAUGCUGGAGAGGAGGGGGAGGGGAAGACGAGGGAGAAUGGAGCGGGAGGGAACACUAAUCUACCUCCUCCACCAGGAGUCCUAGAUCAAGUGCAGAAGCUCAGAGAUGCUGCUGAGGCGCAAGGGAGCCUGGCCUCUAUCUGCAGUGUACAGUCUAUAGACGGCUCAGCUGGAAUUCUAAAAUCCCAAGAGGCUGGCAGCGGAGAUGGCUCAGUCAUCACUGCUCCCAGAUGCAGACCUGAGGACCUGGGUUUAAUGCACAGGACUUGAGAAGGGGUGCAUGCCUGACAUCCCAGCGCUGCUGAUGCAGAGACUGGAGGCUCCCGGGCUCAUUCUGGCAGCCAGUCUAGCUAGAUUGGUGACCUCCAAAGAUAAGGUGGAGAGGGUCUGAGGAAGACACUUGACAUCAAUCUCUGACUUCCACGUAUGCAUACAUGCAUACGCUCACAAAUGCUCACACGAAGCCCCAGGAGUCAAAGAAUGCACAGUGGGCUGGGUGAUGUCAUAGGAAGCAAGUGUGCAUCCUCCUGGUCCCUGGUUCCUGGCACACAGCUUUUGAAACCCUUGGAGUCUCCCAAGUGUCUUGCGUGUUAGUGGGGUGUUGGUAGCCUCAGAACUGGAGCUGGUCUCAGGAAAGCACAAGGAGGUACUAGAAGCCUCCAUGUACUGCCUCCAGGGAGAGAAAAGACACUGAAGGCUGUGUUCAUCGCCAGCGUCCACCUCACUCGUGUGCUGGAGCUUCCUUGGAAUCACAGAGGGAUAUGGACCAAAUACCUACCAGCCAGAUAGCCACCCAAAAAAGCCACAAGAGCCUCUAACAUUGUCCUGUUCAUCUCUUUAUCUAUCAUUUAUAUUAUAUAUUAUAUAAUUAUAUAUAAUAUAUUCAAUAAACACACUAAUAUAUUUAUUAAUAUAUUAAUAUUAAGAAAACAUCAAUAAAUGUAUUAAAUAC